UCAGUUCAAAGCAUCAUCAUCGUAUGAUCUCCUCUACCGUUCGUCCCAUUUUCUUUCUUCUUAUUAUUACAGAGGUUGCUCGCUGCCAUUAGCAAAACCUCUACUCAUUUUCUCUCUUUUUCGAUCUCUCUCCGGCACUUUGCCACUUAGCGAGCAAUUCGAAUUGGAAGAUUUCUGCAGCUGAGCAGCUGGUGGAUCUUUAGGAUUCUUCACACUCAAAUCUCUGAUUUAUUGCCUUUUUCCAAUAGAAUUCGCAUUCGUCGGUGAAAAUGCCUCUAAGAUUGGAGAUUAAGAGGAAACUUGCUCAAAGAUCAGAAAGGGUAAAGGCCGUGGAUCUACAUCCUACGGAGCCAUGGAUAUUGACAAGUUUAUAUUCAGGGACCAUUUGCAUUUGGAACUACCAGACCCAGACAAUGGCACAAUCUUUUGAAGUUACUGAAUUACCAGUAAGAUCAGCGAAAUUUAUAGCACGCAAACAGUGGAUUGUUGCUGGUUCCGAUGACAUGUUUAUUCGUGUAUACAAUUAUAAUACCAUGGAUAAGGUCAAAGUAUUUGAGGCACACACAGAUUAUAUUAGGUGUGUGGCUGUUCAUCCUACACUACCAUAUGUGCUGUCAUCAUCUGAUGACAUGCUUAUAAAGCUCUGGGAUUGGGAGAAGGGAUGGGUAUGCACUCAAAUUUUUGAGGGUCAUUCCCAUUAUGUGAUGCAGGUCACAUUUAAUCCAAAAGACACCAAUACUUUUGCUAGUGCAUCUCUUGAUCGGACUAUAAAGAUUUGGAACCUUGGCUCUCCUGACCCUAACUUUACACUGGAUGCCCAUCUGAAAGGGGUUAAUUGUGUUGAUUAUUUCACUGGUGGUGAUAAACCUUUUCUAAUUACUGGUUCUGAUGAUCACACUGCUAAGGUCUGGGACUAUCAGACAAGAAGUUGUGUCCAGACUCUUGAAGGUCACACACACAAUGUUUCUGCUGUAUGUUUUCAUCCAGAUCUUCCUAUUAUAAUGACGGGGUCUGAAGAUGGUACUGUUCGUAUUUGGCAUGCAACUACUUACAGACUCGAGAACACGUUGAAUUAUGGCCUUGAAAGAGUUUGGGCUAUUGGUUACAUGAAAGGUUCAAGAAGGGUUGUAAUUGGUUACGAUGAGGGAACCAUUAUGGUAAAACUUGGUCGAGAGGUACCUGUUGCUAGCAUGGAUAAUAGUGGAAAAGUCAUAUGGGCUAAGCACAAUGAGGUUCAAACUAUUAACAUCAAGAGUGUGGGUGCGGAUUAUGAGGUUACUGAUGGAGAAAGAUUGCCUUUGGCAGUCAAGGAAUUGGGAACUUGUGACCUAUACCCACAAAGCUUAAAGCAUAACCCAAAUGGAAGGUUUGUCGUUGUUUGUGGAGACGGUGAGUAUAUCAUAUAUACUGCUCUGGCCUGGAGAAAUAGGUCAUUUGGCUCAGCUCUGGAAUUUGUUUGGUCGUCUGAUGGAGAGUAUGCUAUCAGAGAAAGUACUUCAAAGAUUAAGAUUUUCAGCAAAAAUUUCCAGGAAAAAAAGAGUAUUCGCCCUACUUUCUCUGCUGAGCACAUCUAUGGGGGUACCUUAUUGGCAAUGUGCUCAAAUGAUUUCAUUUGCUUCUACGAUUGGAUUGAGUGCAGGUUGAUACGACGGAUUGAUGUUAAUGUCAAAAACCUCUACUGGGCUGACAGUGGUGAUCUGGUGGCUAUUGCUAGUGAUACUUCAUUCUACAUACUGAAGUAUAAUCGCGAUGUUGUUUCUGCACAUUUAGAUAGUGGAAGAUCUGUAGAUGACCAAGGUGUUGAAGAUGCUUUUGAACUUCUUUAUGAAAUAAAUGAACGUGUCAGAACUGGAAUUUGGGUCGGAGAUUGUUUCAUUUACAACAAUUCUUCUUCGAGACUGAAUUACUGUGUAGGCGGCGAGGUGACCACAAUGUUUCACUUAGACCGACCCAUGUACCUGCUGGGAUAUCUCGCUAAUCAAAGUAGAGUUUUCCUGAUUGACAAAGAGUUCAAUGUCGUGGGAUAUACUCUUCUGCUCAGCUUGAUAGAGUACAAGACACUUGUGAUGCGUGGUGACUGGGACAGAGCUAAUGCGGUCUUACCAUCAAUUCCUAAGGAUCACCAUAACAGUGUUGCUCGUUUCUUGGAAUCACGAGGUAUGAUUGAGGAAGCAUUGGAAGUUGCAACAGACGCUGACUACAGAUUUGAACUUGCCAUACAGUUGGGUAAAUUAGACAUUGCAAAGGAAAUUGCUGUAGUAGCACAGAGUGAAUCCAAAUGGAAGCAGUUGGGUGAACUGGCAAUGUCUGCUGGAAUGCUGGAGAUGGCAGAGGAUUGUUUGAAAUACGCUAAUGACUUGAGUGGUUUGCUGCUGCUUUAUUCCUCAUUAGGAGAUGCUGAAGGAAUUGCUGAAUUAGCAUCUCUUGCAAAAGAGCAUGGAAGAAACAAUGUUGCAUUCCUUUGCCUGUUCCUCCUGGGUAAAAUGGAAGAUUGUGUUCAGCUGUUGGUUGACAGCAACCGGAUACCUGAGGCUGCAUUUAUGGCAAGAUCUUACCUUCCAAGUAAGGUUUCUGAAAUAGUUGCAAUGUGGAGGAAGGACCUUAAUAAGGUUAACCAGAAAGCAGCAGAAGCUUUGGCUGAUCCUGAAGAAUAUCCCAACAUGUUUGAGCACUGGCAAAUUGCACAUGCUGUUGAAGCUAGAGUCGCAGAGGAAAGGGGUGUAUACCCACCAGCAGCAGAUUAUGGAAAUUAUGCUGAUAGACCAACUUCCAACCUUGUAGAAGCUUUCAGCAACAUGAGAAUGGAUGAAGAAGAACCCCUUGAAAAUGGAGAAAUGGACCACGAGGUUGUGGAACAGAAUGGUGAUGAGGUGCAAGAACAUGGACAAGAUGGCACUCAACAGGAGAGCCAAGAAGAGGCUGUUGUUGUAGAUGCUGACUCUACUGAUAGUGCAGUACUCGUCAAUGGAAACGAGGCUGAAGAAGAGUGGGGUACGAAUACUGAAGGAAAACCGUCAGCCUAAAAGCAAUUGGUUGGGCCGGUGUGAAAAUCCUAAUUUUGUAGCUGUGCUUACACCACAUAACUAGGUUCAGUGAAGACAGUUGGUUCCAGCUGUAUGUAAUCCGUUCUUAUGGUUGUAGAAUUCUGACAAAUUCCUGAAUUCCUUGUUUACCUUCACAUCAGGGAAAACAUGCACUGUUUGGGCCGUUUGACAGAAAUUUGAACUUUUCAUUCCAGGUUCUCAAAGUUGUUGUCUGAAUGGGACGAACGAUGAAGGGACUGGCUGUCUGUCUGUUUUGAGUGGUGAACGAGUUUUGGUGGCACACUGUAGAAAACAUUUGUCCCAGCUCAGUUAGUCACGCAUAGAUUUAUACACUAUUAUUCUUUAUGAGGGAUACCAUUCUUUAAUCCGUCAAAAUUCUUUCAAUCCAUCGUGAAUGUAAAAACAGUUGCACAAAAUAUGCAAGUGGAGAUACUGCGGAAGUGCUUUUGAGUUCAUAUUUCUCUAUGAUUCUCCAACUCACUGUGUUCCCUUCACCAGAGCCUUUUCUGCCAACUGUAUUCAGUCAAUGGUAGUAACAAUCUCUAUGUAGCAGAUUGAGAUAUUAAUAUUUUCUUUUUUCCA